UUGAGGACUUUUUCUGAGGGUGAUGUUGCCUGUGGUUUAUUUUAACCUCUGUUCCCUUCUCCUAUUUUCUCAGUCUCUUAAGCCUUUCCUUACCCAGCUCUUCCCACUCACAGGUUUGUAGCAGCAACAGGAACCAUUGUAAUGUGCUAUUUCCUUGUAUAAAGAAGCCUCCUACGUAAACUCAGUAUCCCUAGUUUCAACUCUGCAACACUCUCACCACCAUUACCCAGUGCCUACUCACAAGCAAGUGUAUAUCUGGAGAAGCAAGCCCAGAGAAUCAAAAAACAAAUACAUACUAAGACCUGAAGAUGAGAUCGCUACAGACACACAAUGACUGGCAAGCUAACUCAAUGCUCUGAUUUACUUCCUGGUGUUAUU